AACUGAUACUACCUGCGGGAACCUGCGGAGGGAUCAUUACUGAGUGAGGGCGCUCGCCGCCCGACCUCCCACCCUUUUGUGAACCCACCUCGUUGCCUCGGGGGUGAGCCGGCCUCUCUGCGCCUGGCGCCCCCGGCGGACCGCAACCAUUCAACUCUGCGUCUUUGCGUCUGAGUCUGAAACGAAAUCAAAUCAAAACUUUUAACAACGGAUCUCU
rnacentral:misc_RNA from 1 species